GGAAAGGAAAGAAAAGAAAAAGAGAUUUUUUCUGCUUUAGUUCCAGGUUUACUCUUUUCUAUCUUCUAUGGGACAUCAUUAAUAUACAAGUUUGAUGCCAUUAAUGUCUUCAUGAAGGAUCAGCUAUACACUGAAUAACUGAAAGCCAACCUCCAAAAGCAAAUGAAUCAUUAGUUCUUGGCUCAUGUUAGUUUUCAAGUCCAAUAUGUAGAUGUAUUUGGACAAGCCGCUUUAAUUUCAACAGAUGCUAUAUUCUCACGGGGAAGUGCUCUUCAUCUUUGGAAACUAGACCCAAAUAACAGGGGGUUAGAAAUCAGGUAGAUCAAACUGACAAUAGAUAAUGAAGUUCUGCCAAGAUGCCACUACAUUUCCUAGUCUCUUCUCUUCGGAGAUCCUUGUUUCACAUAACAACUUCCUCCAAACAUGCUAAAAGCUGAAAGCAGAUUUACAUAUGAAACUUUUGAAGCUUAUGUUCCACCUGGGCGACCUCCCAAGGGAGGACAAGGGUUUAGAUCUACAGGAGAAAUCGAUUUCACAUGAUCCCUUAAAAGUUGCUGUGACACCCGAUUGGCCAAGGCUGAUUGCCCAUUGCAAAGUUCUCCUGUCGCAAGCCUCCCAAACUGCUUUCCCAGGGCAUCAUAUUCAACAGACGCCAAUUCUCGGAAAGCAUGAGAUCCUGAUGGUGGCCCUCUUAAAACAUCAGGAUCCCAGUAAGAAGGGCCAUUCAUGUAAG
rnacentral:misc_RNA from 1 species